ensembl:lncRNA
AUCUUAUUAACUUUAUUAUUUUUAAUGUAAUGUAUUUUGAUUUUUGCACAGGUACCUGGCCACUGGAGAUUCCUUCAGAACAAUUGCCUUCAGUUACCGUGUUGGGCACUCUGCUGUCUCAGACAUUGUGAGUGAAGUGGCCAGUGCCAUCUGGACAACCCUGGUGGAGGAGACUAUGCCAGUUCCCAGCACUGAGAACUGGAGGGCCAUCGCUGACUAGUUCCAUGUGUGCUGGAAUUUUCCCAAUUGUCUUGGUGCCAUCGACGGGAAACAUGCGGUCUUACAAGCACCACCAAAUUCUGGGUCCCUCUUCUUCAAUUACAAGUCCACCUACUCUCUGGUGCUCCUGGCUGUUGUCGAUGCCAACUACUACUAAAAAAAAAAAAUCAUUUCUAAUCAAUGACUUUAUAGCCACAAACAAUCUGGAUUUUAUGUUUCUAAAUGAAACAUGGCUAGAAGACAGCUGCAGGGCAACAGUCCUCAAUGAAGCAGCACCUCCUAACUUUACUUUCAUGAGUGUCUGCAGGACUGUUAGGAGAGGUGGAGGUGUAGCUGCUCUAUUUAAAGAUGUCUAUCAAUGCAAGCAAAUGUCAUUUGGUCAGUACUUGUCUUUUGAAUAUCUAGGGAUUGUACUGAAAGGUGCUCCACGCGUUCUGUUUAUCAUUAUUUACAGGCCUCCAAAAUACUCUUUGGAGGCCUUUGUUGAAGAGUUCACAGAAAUGCUAUCAAUGAUUUCCUCAGAGUGUGACUGUUUUGUUAUUGCAGGGGAUUUUAAUAUUCAUAUAGAUAAUGCAGAAAACAAAACUUCAAAAGAAAUGAUAACGGUUCUAAACACUUUUGACCUGAUUCAGCAUGUGCAUGGACCCACACACAAAGGUGGACACACUCUAGAUUUAAUCAUCAGUAGGGGUCUAAACAUUUCAUCCAUUGUUAUUAAGGACGUAGCACUAUCUGAUCACUUCUGUAUUUUCUUUGAUAUAUUGAUCUCUGCUACCACUGAAUCUAGAUCUGUCUCUGUCAGAAGGAGAUGCAUAAACGAGAACACUCGUGUGCUGUUUAUGGAGGCUAUAUCUUUAACACCAAGCAUUUCUGCAGACUCUUUUGAUAUUCUCCUUGAUUCCUUUAACUCAAAAGUUAAUGUUAUUGAUGAUAUUGCUCCAAUAAUAGUCAGUAAGAAAACAAACAGACAGAAAUCAGUUUGGAGAAGAUCAACAGCAGUUCAGACUAUGAAAAGACAAUGCAGAAAAGCCGAGCGGAUGUGGAGGAA